rnacentral:rRNA from 1 species
CGUGUAGGCGGAUAGGUAAGUGGGAUGUGAAAUCCCUCGGCUCACCCGAGGACCUGCACCCCAAACUGCCUGUCUUGAGUAUGGGAGAGGAUGAGGGAAUUCCUGGUGUAGCGGUGAAAUGCGUAGAUAUCAGGAGGAACACCGGUGGCGAAAGCGCUCAUCUGGUCCAAUACUGACGCUGAUGCGCGAAAGCUAGGGGAGCAAACG